UCGUAACAAGGUCUCCGUAGGUGAACCUGCGGAGGGAUCAUUACUGAGUGAGGGCCUUCGGGCUCGACCUCCAACCCUUUGUGAACACAACUUGUUGCUUCGGGGGCGACCCUGCCGUUUCGACGGCGAGCGCCCCCGGAGGCCUUCAAACACUGCAUCUUUGCGUCGGAGUUUAAGUAAAUUAAACAAAACUUUCAACAACGGAUCUCUUGGUUCUGGCAUCGAUGAAGAACGCAGCGAAAUGCGAUAAGUAAUGUGAAUUGCAGAAUUCAGUGAAUCAUCGAAUCUUUGAACGCACAUUGCGCCCCUUGGUAUUCCGAGGGGCAUGCCUGUUCGAGCGUCAUUUCACCACUCAAGCCUCGCUUGGUAUUGGGCGCCGCGGUGUUCCGCGCGCCUCAAAGUCUCCGGCUGAGCUGUCCGUCUCUAAGCGUUGUGAUUUCAUUAAUCGCUUCGGAGCGCGGGCGGUCGCGGCCGUUAAAUCUUUCAUAAGGUUGACCUCGGAUCAGGUAGGGAUACCCGCUGAACUUAAGCAUAUCAAUAAGCGGAGGAA
rnacentral:rRNA from 1 species